CCCUUAGAUGUCCUGGGCCGCACGCGCGUUACACUGAUGCAUUCAACGAGCUUAUAACCUUGGCCGAGAGGCCUGGGCAAUCUUGUUAACGUGCAUCGUGAUAGGGAUAGAUUAUUGAAAUUAUUAAUCUUGAACGAGGAAUUCCUAGUAAACGCAGAUCAUCAAUCUGCAUUGAUUACGUCCCUGCCCUUUGUACACACCGCCCGUCGCACCUACCGAUUGGAUGGUCCGGUGAAGCGUCGGGAUUGUGGUUCUUGCCGCUUUAUUGUGGCGUGACCGCGAGAACUUGUCUAAACCUUAUCAUCUAGAGGAAGGUGAAGUCGUAACA
rnacentral:rRNA from 1 species